rnacentral:rRNA from 1 species
AAUAGAUACCCCGGUAGUCCACACCGUAAACGUUGGGCGCUAGGUGUGGGGCCUAUUCCAUGGGUUCCGUGCCGCAGCUAACGCAUUAAGCGCCCCGCCUGGGGAGUACGGCCGCAAGGCUAAAACUCAAAGGAAUUGACGAGGGCCCGCACAAGCGGCGGAGCAUGCGGAUUAAUUCGAUGCAACGCGAAGAACCUUACCUGGGUUUGACAUACACCGGAAAGCGCCAGAGAUGGUGCCCCUUUUGUCGGUGUACAGGUGGUGCAUGGCUGUCGUCAGCUCGUGUCGUGAGAUGUUGGGUUAAGUCCCGCAACGAGCGCAACCCUCGUCCUAUGUUGCCAGCGGGUAAUGCCGGGGACUCAUAGGAGACUGCCGGGGUCAACUCGGAGGAAGGUGGGGAUGACGUCAAGUCAUCAUGCCCCUUAUGUCCAGGGCUUCACGCAUGCUACAAUGGCCGGUACAAAGGGCUGCGAUGCUGCAAGGCGGAGCGAAUCCCAAAAAGCCGGUCUCAGUUCGGAUUGGGGUCUGCAACUCGACCCC